UACGUAGGGGGCAAGCGUUAUCCGGAUUUACUGGGUGUAAAGGGAGCGUAGACGGCAGAGCAAGUCCGGAGUGAAAGCCCGGGGCCCAACCCCGGGACUGCUCUGGAAACUGUUAAGCUGGAGUGCGGGAGGGGCAGGCGGAAUUCCUGUGUAGCGGUGAAAUGCGUAGAUAUCAGAAGGAACACCGGCGGCGAAGGCGGCCUGCUGGACCGUGACUGACGUUGAGGCCCGAAAGCGUGGGGAGCAAACAGG
rnacentral:rRNA from 1 species